UGGGGAAGUAUUGCACAAUGGGGGGAACCCGUGAUGCAGCGACGCCGCGUGAGGGAAGAAGGUUUUCGGAUUGUAAACCUCUGUCCUCUGUGACGAUAAUGACGGUAGCAGAGGAGGAAGCCACGGCUAACUACGUGCC
rnacentral:rRNA from 1 species